GUAUAAGACUAGGGUGGGAAAUGCAGCAACUACAGGUAAAUUUCUAAAUAAAAUUAUAUCCCCCAAAAAUUAUAUUAAUUGAAUAUUUAUUUACAGUGUGUGUAUAUAAUGAAUGCAGUGUGUGUGUGUAUGUAUGAAUGGAGUGUGUGUGUGUAUGAGUGCAGUGUGUGUGUGUAUGAAUGCAGUGUGUGUGUGUGUGUAUGAAUGCAGUGUGUGUAUGAAUGCAGUGUGUGUGUGUAUG